rnacentral:misc_RNA from 1 species
GAUGAAGAACGCAGCGAAAUGCGAUAAGUAAUGUGAAUUGCAGAAUUCAGUGAAUCAUCGAAUCUUUGAACGCACAUUGCGCCCGCCAGUAUUCUGGCGGGCAUGCCUGUUCGAGCGUCAUUUCAACCAUCAAGCCCCCGGCUUGUGUUGGGGACCUGCGGCUGCCGCAGGCCCUGAAAACCAGUGGCGGGCUCGCUAGUCACUCCGAGCGUAGUAAUACAUCUCGCUCAGGGCGUGCUGCGGGUUCCGGCCGUUAAAAAGCCUUAUUUACCCAAGGUUGACCUCGGAUCAGGUAGGAAGAUCCGCUGAACUUAAGCAUAUCAAUAAGCGGAGGA